rnacentral:tRNA from 1 species
CGGAGAGGUGGCCGAGAGGUUGAAGGCGCUCCCCUGCUAAGGGAGUAUGGCGUAAAAACCAUCGAGGGUUCGAAUCCCUCUCUCUCCGCCAU